GAUCAGUGGCGAACGGGUGAGUAACACGUGAGUAACCUGCCCCAGACUCUGGGAUAACCCCGGGAAACCGGAGCUAAUACCGGAUAUGACACCAACGGGCAUCCGUAUGGUGUGGAAAGUUUUUCGGUCUGGGAUGGACUCGCGGCCUAUCAGCUUGUUGGUGAGGUAGUGGCUCACCAAGGCGACGACGGGUAGCCGGCCUGAGAGGGCGACCGGCCACACUGGGACUGAGACACGGCCCAGACUCCUACGGGAGGCAGCAGUGGGGAAUAUUGCACAAUGGGCGGAAGCCUGAUGCAGCGACGCCGCGUGAGGGAUGACGGCCUUCGGGUUGUAAACCUCUUUCAGCAGGGAAGAAGCGCAAGUGACGGUACCUGCAGAAGAAGCACCGGCUAACUACGUGCCAGCAGCCGCGGUAAUACGUAGGGUGCGAGCGUUGUCCGGAAUUAUUGGGCGUAAAGAGCUUGUAGGUGGUUUGUCGCGUCUGCUGUGAAAAUCCGAGGCUCAACCUCGGACUUGCAGUGGGUACGGGCAGACUAGAGUGUGGUAGGGGAGACUGGAAUUCCUGGUGUAGCGGUGGAAUGCGCAGAUAUCAGGAGGAACACCGAUGGCGAAGGCAGGUCUCUGGGCCAUUACUGACA
rnacentral:rRNA from 1 species